CCGACCUCAAAAGCUCCCCAUUUUUCUCUCCAGCUUUGUCUACAUUGUAUAGCCAACUUGGUCGACGAAACCGCCGCAAAAUGAUAAUUGAGGAGAGACGAACAACAAGAACAUCAAUCAACUUCAACCAUUAAGAUGGCGACAGAUAAAUGGCAGCCUCAGUUACAAAUACUCAACUUGGCAAGUAAAGCACAAGAAACACUCUUAUUUUUAAGAUAAAUCCAUGAGUGACAACACCAAAACAUGAGAUGUUCCUCCGUGACACCCUCACAAUCCCAUGGAGCUUGUGGGUCAUCCUCUUCCCAACAAGACCCACCCUAGCCCUUAGCCUCAGCUGCAUCAUCUUGUUGAGCCACGCUUACACUCCUGCUGAAGUUCGUUGAAAUCACACCACGAUCACGUACUACUACAUGAUGGACUAGAGUCAUGGCAAUACGAUCAAGAUAGAGCCAUGCGUGAUAAUACCAAGUUCUGAGAUGUUCCUCGAUGUUCCAAACUGAUGGAGCUUGGUCAUCCUCUGCCUGAGAACCACCCUGGCCUUAGCAUCAACUGGGUGAUCUAUUCGAAUCACCCUUCAUCAGAGCAUGGAUGCCUACUUUCUUGCUAAGAGAGACGCAAAGCCAUGCUUACACUCCUGCUGAAGCUUGUUGAAGUCACACCAGUAUCCCUGUCUUCUGCAUGAUGGACAAGAACCAUGGCAAUACAAUACAAUCAAGAAAUCUGCAAAUCGAGAGAGCGUGGGAUCUUCAUCAACAAAGCCAGACGGAGAGUGUCGGAAUCUACAAUCAGUGAGCUGUCAACCACCAGCAGAGAUGCAAGAUGAUCAGCGCCGAAGCCCGAUUGUAGUAUCUUUUUCAGUAAUUUGCCUAAACAGGCAUUUAGAUAUGGGAUGGAUCUUAGGUAGGAUUUAAUAAAAAGUAAUACUUUCCAGAGUUGUGAAUUAACCAAUAUUUCUGUGUAUGGCGAUUAAUUCACAGUUACUAGUGUGGCGAAUGACCCAUACUUCCUGUGUGUGGUGUUGAUCUACCCAUACCAGACUUUUCUUGCUGGUGAUCUUCUAUCAAUACUUCCCCAUACUUUCGUGGUGAUGACCUACCCAUGCUUUUCCUGUGUGGUGAUGAUCUACCCAUACUUACCCUGUGUGGUGAUAAUCCACCCAUACUUUUGUGGGGUGAUGAUCUACCCAUAUAUGCCCCCUGUGUGGUGAUGAUACUUUCCCUGUGUGGUGAUGAUACUUUCCCUGUGUGGUGAUGAUACUUUCCCUGUGUGGUGAUGAUACUUACCCUUUGUGGUGAUGAUCUACCCAUACUUUUCCUGUGUGGUAUGAUCUACCGAUACUUUCCCUGUGUGGUGUUGAUCUACCCAUACUUUCCCUGUGUGGUGAUGAUCUACCUAUACUUUUGUGGUGAUGAUCUACCCAUACUUUUCCUGUGUGGUGAUGAUCUACCCAUACUUUUGUGGUGAUAUCUACCCAUACUUACCCUGUGUGGUGAUGAUCUACCUAUACGUUUGUGGUGAUGAUCUACCCAUACUUAAGUGGUGAUGAUCUACCCAUAUUCACCCUGUGUGGUGAAUCAUCUGAAUCAAAUUGGAACGUUUUCCAGGGUUUAUUUAAUGUGUAAUUCUAGCUUGUUAUUAGGCUGCUGUGUGUGGAGUUUGAUAAACUUGGUUGCCAUAGAUAUGGAGCCGGAUGGGAAUUUUCCCCUGAGUGUUUACCCAAAAAGGGGUGUUUGUAAAGGGUUUUGCCCAUCUCAUACACAGCAGAUAGCAGCCAUGCAACUUUUCAGCUGACCAGCUAAUUUUUUGAUCAUGGUUUUUCUCAGCCACUGAAAAUUCAAAAUCACAGUACAAAGUAUAGCUGUGCCUGUUUGAGUCCUCUCUUUUUCCUGCAAAAAUGCAAAGUUGUAUGUUUGAAAUAGGUUAGAUAGUUAAGGUUACAUGUUAGAAAAUGUUUCAGGCGUGUGGUCCAUACUUACUCUUGUGUGGUAAAUUACAAUUUAUAUAAAAAGUUGUAAAUAGGUUAGCUGAAAUAGGUUAGGUUAGUUAGGUUAGAAAA